UACGAAGGGGGCUAGCGUUGUUCGGAUUUACUGGGCGUAAAGCGCACGUAGGCGGCUUUCUAAGUCGGGGGUGAAAUCCUGGAGCUCAACUCCAGAACUGCCUUCGAUACUGGAGAGCUUGAGUCCGGGAGAGGUGAGUGGAACUGCGAGUGUAGAGGUGAAAUUCGUAGAUAUUCGCAAGAACACCAGUGGCGAAGGCGGCUCACUGGCCCGGUACUGACGCUGAGGUGCGAAAGCGUGGGGAGCAAACAGG
rnacentral:rRNA from 1 species